GACGAACGCUGGCGGCGUGCUUAACACAUGCAAGUCGAACGGAAAGGCCCUGCUUUUGUGGGGUGCUCGAGUGGCGAACGGGUGAGUAACACGUGAGUAACCUGCCCUUGACUUUGGGAUAACUUCAGGAAACUGGGGCUAAUACCGGAUAGGAGCUCCUGCCGCAUGGUGGGGGUUGGAAAGUUUCGACGGUUGGGGAUGGACUCGCGGCUUAUCAGCUUGUUGGUGGGGUAGUGGCUUACCAAGGCUUUGACGGGUAGCCGGCCUGAGAGGGUGACCGGCCACAUUGGGACUGAGAUACGGCCCAGACUCCUACGGGAGGCAGCAGUGGGGAAUAUUGCACAAUGGGCGGAAGCCUGAUGCAGCAACGCCGCGUGCGGGAUGACGGCCUUCGGGUUGUAAACCGCUUUCGCCUGUGACGAAGCGUGAGUGACGGUAAUGGGUAAAGAAGCACCGGCUAACUACGUG
rnacentral:rRNA from 1 species